rnacentral:rRNA from 1 species
AAAAGCUUUCUUUAAUUGAAUAAUUGAAUUUAAUUUUUUAGUGCAAAAGCAAAAAUAAAAAUUAGGGACAAGAAGACCCUAUGAAUUUUUUAUUAAAUUUUAUAAAACUUUAUAUAAAAUUUAAUUUAAUUGGGGUGAUGGAAAAAGAAUAAAUAUCUUUUUUAAAAGAAAAUUGGUUCCGUUCUUAGCGAUUAAAUGAAAAAAAUACUCUAGGGAUAACAGCGUAAUAAUUUUGGAUAGUUCAUAUAGAUAAAAUAGUUUGCGACCUCGAUGUUGGAUUAGGAUUCUUUUUUGGUGAAGAAGUUAAAAAAAGAAGUUUGUUCAACUUAUAAUUUCCUACUUGAUCUGAGUUCAGACCGG